rnacentral:rRNA from 1 species
UACGGAGGGUGCAAACGUUGCUCGGAAUCAUUGGGCGUAAAGCGCACGUAGGCGGUUCGCUAUGUCGGAUGUGAAAGCCCUCGGCUUAACCGAGGAAGGGCAUCCGAAACUGGCGGGCUUGAGUACGGAAGAGGGUCUCGGAAUUCCCGGUGUAGAGGUGAAAUUCGUAGAUAUCGGGAGGAACACCGGCGGCGAAAGCGGCCAUCUGGACGAGGACUGACGCUGAGAUGCGAAAGCGUGGGGAGCAAACAGG